CUGAAAUAAUAUUAAGAAUGAGGGGUGAGUUCAACCAACUCAGUGAGGGAAUAAUAAUUAAUAUACAUUUUAGAUAUUCUUGAUAUUAAUAGUUCGCAAGAUCAUUUAUCUUGAUGUACAUAUACAUAUACAUAUCAUAUACAUACUAAACGUAUCAUCAUAACGUAGUGGACUAUAUGUCAGAGAUCAGAUGACACCCGAAGGUGACCAGAUGACACCCGAAGGUGACCAGACCAGAUGACACCCGAAGGUGACCACUGUGGGAUGAUCAGUCGCCACAGGCUGAUGCCUCUCUCACCAGCUAGGUAUACAUACAGAAUACUAUGUGCACACAGGCUAACUACUCUCCGUUAGCAUGGAGUUACUGACAAGUCCCAUAUCAAGGCAUAAUAGAUAUUCACAUAAUCAUCAAGAAAAGUAUAUCAUAUCAAAUAGGAUUUACUUUGACAGAUUGCGAGUGCAAAUUCAAGAAUAAAUGAGUACUCAGAAAAUAAGCAACAUAUAUAAUUAUUCAAGGAAUUAACGAGUUGUACUCAUUGUAUAAUCAACAUACAUAUUUACUUAUCAUAUAUGCAUAUUAAAGAUUAUUCCACUCACCCG
rnacentral:lncRNA from 1 species